CAAACCCGAUCCUGCUGAAGAAUUCAGGGCUCGGCAAGGUGCCUCCGAUGCCUGGGCCAGGGAAGUAGUGCCCACCAACACCUCCGUAGAUGUUCUGAGGAUGAACGACCUUGUCCUUGCACUUCAGCAUCCGAGCUCCCUCAACAUCGACGUUGCAUGCAAGAGACAGGCACAAGAGCAAUGCUAAGCAAACAAUUGACGACGACGAUCUCUUCUUCUCCGUAGUAGUGCUGAUGUUGCGGUUUAUGAGACUAGUGAACGAGGGUUGGUGGCAUUGUGUAUCUGAUUGAGCAUGCGACGUGAGCAAUUUGCUUCAGAAGAAAGGACUUAACAUGGCCCCUGUUUAUGUAGUAGUGUCUUGGCAUUCUAAUUCAAGGAAGAGAGGAUAUCUUCAAAACUGUCAUGGUUGGGGCCCUUUUUCAGGAAUAACGACGUUCGUUCAUUUGGAAAUCAAGGGUUGUGCCAAAAUUAAUGAACUUAGUCUCUCAACUAUAUAUUUCCAAGUGGCCCAAAGGGUUUAUAUACAUUCUUUGACAAAGUACAUUUGUUUUGCUGAAAAUGAAUGACUCAGAAAAUAUUUUUCUAAAAAUAAUCUCUUCUAUCACUUAUAGAAAUGAACAAACGAAAAAUAUUAUCGAUCUACGAAAUGUUUAGACAAUUUUUUCCUUGGCACCUUGGACCUUCUUCUGUUUGGUAAUAUAGGCAUAGAUUCUCAUGCUAAACUCAAUUAAGGGGGGUCUGCACUAAGCACUUGGCCUCAAGCUGAUUAUGAUGACCACAAAUUCCAUUGUAAAUGACUGUAGUUGCUGGGUUAUUCUAAAAUCAGAAUAUUGAAGCACAAGAGACAGUAGUGACAAAGAGGUCUUAAGAACAAAACCUUCCUCUUUGGACAGAGAACGUGGAUUCUAGGAUCCAUCUGCCAGACCCUUCUUCAUUUAGUUAUUCUGUCUUCCUGUUUCUCUGUCAUAUAUUGUCUCUUCCUUUCAUGUGUGUUUUUCUUUAUGCUAACAUUAAAAAAUUAAGUUCACCUUUCAGUAGUAUGAAACUGGGUCAAUCUCUAUGGUCUCUGCAUGAAACUUUUUGUCUUCUUUGGCAAGACGAGUACGUGCUUUUACUAGUAAGAUGUUGUGAGCAUGAAGAAGAGACGAGUAGAAUGUUUGUGAAAAGAAACAGUCCCCGAGGAUUUUGCAGUAUAUUGUGCAUUAGGUAGCGAUCCUAUUCAUCAACACUUAUUCGAUUGGAAACUCUGUCGAUGCUCCCAUUUGAUGGCUUAUUUGAAUAAAAUUGUAGUUCUUGACGUAUUUCUAUCUUCUCUCCUUUUUCUUGUUUUUUAUGAUCUCUUCUUGGUCAAGGUCGAAUCCCGCAGAUGUCCUAUUGUGGGCUGUGGAGAAAAUUAUGACAGGACAUCCUCGGUGAAAGUGAGGAUAUCUCCUUGGGGCUCCUCAGUCCUCUUCUAGCUAGCGAUCUAAAAGAAAAUAAGGUGAUUGUCUUGUUCUUUUCUGCCAUUUCAGUGUGGUUUCUGUUUGCUUUAGUUUUUAAUAGGGUGUAUAAUGUCAUUUAGAAUGUCGCAAUUUCGUGUUGGAAGCUCGGAGAGAGGGUCAUCACCAGCCGUCCAGCUAAGCUUGGACCUCUUCUUCAUGGAGUAGUACAAUCCAGUGGCACCACUGUGAACGAUUACUCUCCUGUUGUGGCUUCUGUAUGUGAAAAUGAGCCAACUAUGGAGAAUAAUCAUGCUAAUGGUUUUUCACAACCAGCGGCGCGUCUCUUGAUCUUUAUAAGACCCUAUUCUUUCUGUUUAUGCUGAGCUCAGCGGUAUUGCUUCUGACUUUCCAUCCUUCCAUUGAAUAAGUUUCUAGAUGAAAUGAACUUCGACGCCCACCUUUUAUUGUCUUCUCCUAUAAAGAUUUUUCCGUAGACUAUGAUAAGCUGCUAAAAUUUUUUGAAAGUUUCACUCUGGCUAAUCAAGAUAAUCACAUGUCGAAAUAAACCGAAACCAUUCUCACUUAUCCUUGCAACAGUCAGAAGCUCUCCAUGUGACAUGCUUCCUAGGCCUCUCCCCUGGAUCUCCAGCGAACUAGCAUGUACAAACAUACCGGGGAAGACACUGAAAGUUGGCAAUCAUACAAAUGUAACGCCGGAAAAUAGAUGUGUCGAGACUGACAAGUAACUAAUUAAAUCCAAUAUCUAACGCACUGGACUUCUUCUGACCGUCGGGAUCGCAUCAAUAUCUGCAUCUUUGGGGCAGUCAACCCCUCAACAUUAUCCAGUGCUGCCUCAGCCAAGAAACAUAUGGUCUCUGCUACAGAACACCUAAGGAGGAUAUCUGGCCUAUGGGUAACUCCUCAGCACUUUGACAAUUCAUCGAGACUCCCAGUCCUUCAAUUUCUUGCUUCCUUUGGGUUUCUCUAUGGGAGCAUUCAGUCCGGCCAUCUUCGCAUUGUACUUCGCCCUGAGAGGGUCAUUGUAGGUCCAACUGCAUCACAAGAAAACAUCAAAUUAAGUUCCUCCUAUCGUCAUCAUGAAUCCGUAAUAAAUUGUUAACUCUUUGAACUUCCUGUCCCAGGUAACAUACUGGAAACAAGACGGAAUGCCAUGUUCAUAGAAAGAUGGCAUCAAUAGAAUCAAAACAAACUUCUCUAUGGAUUAAUGAUUUUUCAAAUGUCCAGACCAAAUAAAAGCACUUCUUUUCUUCCACGAAGGACUCAGGAAUGAGAAAUGAGUUCUCGCAUACAAUUCCACUCGAACAACAUUCUAAAACCUAAAUAUUUUGUAACAAAAUUAAGCAGACCAAUGAGUAAAUUCACCAUGUGUCAUAUCAACAGCUGCAAGUUAAUUCAUAAAACAAUGACAAUAUAAAUUAAUAAUCACAACAAGCAUAAUGUCCAGUUAACAUUGUUGUAAACACCCUCCAUAGCCAUCAAAUUACUAUUAAUGCACUUCAAUCUCAAUUAUGCAAACAAGAGAGGAGCACACAAGGUGCGGAUGCGUAAGGACGAGAAAUAGGAGAGCUGUAUCAGAGUGAAAAAAUCAAUAGAUAAGUAAGACUUACGGAUUGUUCCAAUCAGUUGUAUCUUCAUUAACAAGAUGAGUCCACUUCGUCCUUCCACUCCGACCAAAGUGCUUGACUUGCAUGACUUUCGGCAAAAUAGUUUUAUCCAUUUUAUCCUCGCCAGUUGGAGCAGAGAAAUCACGGCUGUAAAUGUAAUCCGAUCCAGCUGUUCCAGCAUGGUCAUCGACUUCUGACUGGAAGAAGGCACCCUUGUGGUAAUACUUCUGCAUGAACCUCCAUUUCUGCUUUGGUGCCGAAGAAGGUCUGGGAUUCUUCCUUUCCCACUCCCUCCUUUCCUCCUCUGUCAUGUUUCUCACCUUCUCAAUCUCUUCCUUCGCCUUUAACAUUGCUUCACGGUCCUCUCUAUCCCUCUUGAUCCUUGCAAUCUCUCUUGCUUUCCAAGCUUCAUACUCUUCAGCCUCAUUGAGCUCAUCAUCAGUUUCCACAUCAGCGAUGUUCGCCUCCAUUUCCAGAUUCUUUUGGAUUUCUUCGUCUUUUCGGAUCUCCUCAACCACAAUCUGCUUCGUCUCAACCUUUCUCUCCUCUUGUCUCCUCUUCAUUAGCUCCUCAAUGGCUCUUUCUUCCGCCUCAAGCCGCUGUCUUUCAGCUAUAGUAUCCCUCUCCGACUUAACGACAAAGACUGGCUUCACCAUGGCAAUACCUUUCGUCUCUUCUUCUGAGUCUGUCUCAUACUCAGAUUCCUCUUCUUCCUCCUCCUCUUCCUCCUCCUCCUCCUCUUCAGGAAGGAGUGCUGCCUCUUCCUGUUCCCUCAGAAGCAACUUCUCCCUUAUCUUUCUUCUCCGUUCUUCUAAAGCCUCUGCAUCCUCUUCUUCUGCUUCCAGACCCUCCUGUCUUCUGUUUUCCUCUUCAAUGGUAGAAACGAUCUCAGCUUGUCGAAUGCGACGAUGAUCAGCUCUGAUUUCAUCACGGUUAUCUAUCCUGCUCUCGGCCAAACGCCGCAACCUGGGAUCAUCUUUCUUGCCAAUACCUGAAUCUUCAUGAGCAGGAAAAGCUUUCUCCAGGGCAACUGCCCUUGCCAUCCUGAUAUCCCCAUCUUCAUCAGCUUCAUCUGCCCACUCAGGAACUUUACCAGGCCAAUACCGUUUGACCUUAGUCUGUCCAAUUUUACCCCUAAGUUUAUCCCUUACAGCAAUUACAGUGUCACUCACUCCCGCUGUCACCGACAUUGUUGUGUAUGUUGUAUGGCACAAAAUGAAAGAGGAAAAAAAAAAUUAUGACCAGCAGACCACUUUGUGCUAUUACUCCUCCAGGACCAAGUUAUGCCGCAAUUAGAGCUGUUCUGUACACAAUGCAAGAGAAAAUAUGUAAAUAUCCAGGGGAUAAUUCAUCAUGCAAACCUUAUUUCCCUCCAGGGGGAGGGGCUAAUCCAAAUCCUAAUGCGAGUAAGAAAAACUGGAAUACCCAAAACUAAAUCAAAGGUCAGUCGUGCAUUUAUAAUUUAGAAGCGGUUAGCACGCCGUUCAACUACAUUUAGAUCCGAUCGAUGCACCAAUCAGAUCAGGUGCAGACUCAUUGAGCAAAGUCCUCCCCUUUCAUCAAAAGAUUUGCACAACAAUCAACACCAGGGUUACCCAAAUCACCCACGAACCCGCGACUCGCAAGCGUUCAACCGGCAAGUUGUCAUGGAAGGAAGACACGGACGAAAACGAUCGAAACCCUAGCUCAGGGGAAGAAGGCAAGAGCUAAUUCGAGUGCAGGGGCGGGCUCUCUCUCAAUUUUUUAAGAUUUUUAGAGCAUUGCGAGCUGGAAUCUGCGGCAAAAUUGGGAUCAUUUCUCAAGACAAGCAACUUGGCGAUUAGGGCUGCUAAACCAACGAUCGGCAUUACCAUUCAACGAUCAAUCCCACAAGCAAUUCAUGAAGCAUAAAGAAGAAUCGAAGAGCAACCCAGAAACCCUAGCAUCGGCGUCAACGGUAAAAACCGCCGCUUGACAAACAUCAUCGUCGGUAAUCGUCGGAAUGAUUUGAACUCUUUACAAAAUUUCGGAAAAGUCGAGAUUUUUACCUGAUACCAGGGAUGGCGGAUGCUCUCCCUGCAAUCGGCGGCGCAACGGAGCGAGAGAGAGAAAGAGAAAUGGGGGCUCAGGAGAAGAAGUUCAAAUCGAAGUUCGUGCUGCGGAAGCCAUGGAUGAACUGCUCGACCUCGCUGCGCUGCUUGUCAUCGUUUUCUUCUUCUUCGCAAGCCACCAGCGGAGGUAAAUCUUCACCCCGUUGCUGUCUGCUUCAGGCCCAAUUGUGGCCCAACAGUAGUAGGCCCAUUAGAAUCAAGGUGUCUCGGCCCAAUUACGUGAUUGAAGUGGGGGGCCAAGCUUAAGCUUACUUUAAUCCCUUUUUUAUCUUCUUCUUUUUUUCUUUAAAUUUCUCCUUUUUUUAUUACUCAAGGAAAAUUGCUCCUUCACUUGCGUGCAAUAUACUGUCAAGGAUAAUGAUGAAGAGUUUAAGGGAUGAAAGAGAAUUGCGCGCAGAUAUUAUAGUAGUUCAGUUUAUUACAAGCCUACGUCCAUUCGUCCAUAGUGAUGGUCUACUGGCUAGAUUUCACUAGUUAAUUCAUGAGAGGUUACAAAAUUUGAGUAUUCACUUCUCAAGGGUGUGUGAUUGACUGCUCUAACUCACACAAUUGCUCUAACAAUUGCCUCUCGAAUAUUACAAUUGUAGCAUACAGAGACAUGUAACGUGAAAGCUCUCUUGAACUUUGGAAUUUCAAGUUCACGAUCUUGAUUUUUUCUUCCACACCAAAAUCUCCUUUUAUAUUCCUCCAAAUCCAAUCUAGUUGUUGGACAGUCUUUAGAGUAUCAUUCUCCAAUCAAUCCAUUGGAAAUGCAUGUUUUAAAAAGAUUAAGUAGCCAUUAAGUCAUGAGAUCAAAAUCUUCCAUCAAUUCAAUCGCCCAUACAAUUGAGCUAGGUUUCCAUAAAUAGAGUUAUUCGUUUGAAAAGAAUAUCUUGUCUUUGGAUGAUUGUCAAUAAAUAAAAUAUUCUUUGCUUUUUGUCCGUUUGUUGCAAAACAAUCUUUAAAAUUGAUAAAUAAUCAACACUUUCUACAAAAGAAAUCCAAGUGAAAUCACUAGCCAUUGUGAUAUACGUGGUUUUUUAGUCUAAUUAGACUUCUUGAUCAAAUGAUAUUGUUUGAGUUGGAAUAUUUCCCGAGUUUAAAUGGUCUUCUCAUAGAAUCUAAAGAUGCCCAACAUCUUGUCAAUAUUCACAAGCAAGCUCUGCUAAUAUCCUCAUAUUACUCUAAUGAUAUCCAUCCAUUUAUGAAGUCCACAAAGUAAAUUAUUCAGAACUUCAGACAUACAAUCCAAAUGACAAUAACUAGAGUCCGAAUACCAUUUCUUCAUGAAUAUCACCUAAAUAAUAUUUCGUUAGAUUCAAUAGAUACUUAUGAAAGGUUUUGUCACUCUUCAAAACAUAUUAAGAAGUUUUCUCAACAGUGUGUAGGGCUCAAGAUUGAUGAGCUUUCAAGGGCAAAGGCGGUCACCACAAUGAAUGAUUGAAGAGAACUCAAUUGCCUAUUCAUGCCUCACCAUACGUAGCAAUUUCAUUGUUGCAUAAGGAAGAACAUGGCUCUUUUUUGGGUCCUCAACUCAUGGCUGCAUAAUGAAUAACUACGGUGACGCAUUUUGGUUAAGGCUGGGCUCGUUUAUGCAAUCAUUUAAACUUAUGAUUUGAUGGUUUGAACCAAGGAUUGAACUUGAACCAUGAGCAACCAUCAUUCAGUUCUUGCUCAAAUUUACUUUGUAGCCCAUGUUUGGCUGAAUUGCGUUCAUGUAAUCUAAUGGUUGUGCAGAAAAGCUUUUGCAUAGCUUGAUUCUACGUUUGAAAAUUUUGACUGCUUUAUAGUGCAACACGUAGAAACCAACUAAUCUCUUUCUGGAUGAAACGUAAAUGUGAGGAGUACUUCUUUCUUUUGACUCUGGAAGAAAAGAAGAAAAAGUGCAAUUGUGUUGUUUUUGAAGCUAGCCUAUCAUUUGAUUUCCGAAGAGAAAUUUAUCAACUUGAAUUAAAGUAAUAUGCCGAGAUGGAAAGUGUCAUGGCUAGAACUAUCACAUGGAGGAGGGGUGGAUAGGUUAUAUAAACAAUUAAAGCAUAAUUUGAAACAACCAAAGUCAAAGUCUAAUAAAAAACUUCGUAGUGAUCAAAUCUUCUGCAACAUCUUAUGAAGAACUAUGUAAUGAUCAGACUUUACCAUGUGCAAUAAAUUGAAUAAAUGAGAGAUUAAAGGAUAGAGAAAAUUGCACACAACAAUAAUAGUGGUUCAACUUUUGUAAGCCUACGUCCACUCUCCCGCGCUAUAGCCUAUUAGUUAGAUUCUACAAUGAAGAACCGAUCAGAGGUUAUAAGAUCUAAACUCUGAACACUUGAGCUCAAGUGUAUAACUCCUCACACACUCUCAACCUCUAAAUGGUUACACAAUGAUCUCAAGGAGACGAAUGUAUUUGAUGGCAAAACACUCUUUAGACUUUGGAAUUAUAAGCUUCCAUUUUCUCGUGUUGCAUUUUUCCUUUCAACUUCGAGACCUCCUUUAUACUCCUCUCUAUCUAAGAUGACCGUUGGAUAUAUCCCCUAGAGGAUUAUCCAGCCAAUCUACUUGUUGGCCCAUAUCUUGCCUAGAAGAUCUUAUCACUUCAAAAAUGUCGAGAAUAAAGCUUCCUGUAGAUUCUGGGCGGCAGUUUGGGUUUCCAUAAGUUGAGUGCUUUAAUUUGGAAAGAAUGUUUCACCUCAAGUCUAUCGUUCUAGGAAAGUGAGAUCUUCAAAAGAUAUUUGGAAGACUUUCCUUUUGAAACUUCUUAUAAAUAAAGCAAGGAAUCUAAUCAAUCACCACUAGCUGUUGCACGAGGAUAUUAUCUCAUUUCUAAGAACACAUAAAGAAGGAAAUAAUUAUCAUUUGAUCAUAUCCUAUCAGAUUUUUCACCCAAAAAAUAUUUAUCAUCAAAAUCAAAGUCUUUUACUCCCGAUAAGUUUUGUCAAUCUUCAAAAUUAAUUUAGGAAAUUUCCUCAAUAGAAAGACCCAUCAUGCGUCAUGAUCAUGAGUUGAUGUAGCAUCUAGAAGCUCAUCUUUUAUCGCCAUCCUCGGUAAUCGUUUUUCACCAUUGCUGAUCAUUGUUAGGGUGAACUGACGGAAAAAAGAAGAAUCACUAUCCAUAUUUUCUAUUAGGAAUAAGUACACUAAGAGUGCCAUAACUUUCGUAUAUAAUUCUGUAACUUUUUUUCACUCACUUGAGUGUCAUAAAUUCAAAAAAUCGACCACUUGAUUGCCAUCGGCGAUUUGCCUUGUCGAAAAAGCUGAUGUAGCAUUAAUUUAUAAUACAUCAUCCGACGUAGUGUGUCAAAAAGCUGAAGUCAACACUUGCAAAUGCAAACAACAUUGCUUGAAGGAUAGCAGAAAUUCCAAUAACUUCACGCAUGAUCGCUUCAGAGUCAUAAAUUUUUAGAAGUGAACACCCAGGUUUAUCAUUUUUUUUUAAUGACAAGAAGAGAGAGAGUUUGAAAACGUCUUUUGAGGAAGAGAGAGUUUGAAAACGGCAUCGUCUAAUUGUGGAAGAUUUUAAAGAAAAAACAAAAAACGACGAUAUUUGUUAUACUCUUGUCAUGCUAGACAAAAAUUUCCACGUUGGACAUCAAUUUUUUUUUUUAAAUUCCACGUCAAAAUGGAAAAUUAAGAAAAAAAAAUCCACAUGAAGUGAUUUGUCGGAAAUGACACUCAAAUAAUUGAUUUUACACCAAUGUAGUACUAAAGUGAGUGAAACAAGAAAUUAUAGUCCCCAAAUGAGUACCAUACGAAAGUUGUUUUGCACUUAUUUCAUUUUUCUCAUAUGGAAUGUGCACUCCUACAAUAGUUGUUUUGCUGUUGGUUUUCCUCCUCCUUUUUCUUUAAGAUUGUAUUUUAGAGAAAUAAUAAUUCAAGAACUUUGAAAUUCACAACAAGAAAGGGUCAGGUUCUUUGCCUCCUUGUUAAGACACUGUUCAAUUGUAUUCCUUUAGGUUUCAUGGGGACUUCAUUUUGUUUCUUGUUUUGGGCUUAGGAGUUGAUUCUGAGCGGGAAAAACGUAAUGAUAGGACCGUUAUAUAUAUAGCAUGAUCCUUAAACUGUUCUUUAUCCUGCUGAGAAAUGGAUUACAUCAAGCUCUUCGAGAAAGCUAUGGUCGUUUCAUCCUCAGUUGCUUUGUUCUGGAAGAUCAUCAAACAUAUGUGGAGUCCCAUAAAUGUGGAGAAGGAGCCAGUGAAAGUAUUGGUUACCGGCGCAGCAGGCACGUUUUUGCUUCAAUUGAUCGCCUCCAUUUUUUCUUAUCAGACGGUCGCUAUCGGAUUCAGUGCUCGGAUGGUUCAUCAAUGUCGAAUCUUGCAUAAUGUCCAAUUACAUGGAUUCGUUGUUAGAGUUGAAGUUACAGUUCCAUCAAUUUGGAAGGUCAAGGCUAACAGCGACGGCAUGGAUUCUCCUUUGAAUUCAUGCCGGUUGCCAUAAUGUUUAACCGAGAGUUUCCUAUUUUGCUUUCGCAGGACAAAUCGGCUACGCCCUCAUGCCUAUGAUUGCUAGGGGAGUCAUGUUAGGACCCGAUCAGCCUAUAAUUAUUCACAUGCUCGAUACCGAAAAAGCUGCCGAGGCCUUGAAUGGCCUGAAGAUGGAGCUGAUCGACGGCGCCUUCCCUCUGCUCAGAGGCAAACCUCUUCAAGCUGAUUGCUCAUCUUAUGCGGACCUUAAACAUUGCUGUAAUCAGUGUCUAAAUAGUCGCUUUACCAUGUCUGGUUUAUCAGGUGUCGUGGCCACUACGGAUGUUGUCGAAGCUUGCAGAGACGUAAACAUAGCUGUCAUGCUGGGUGGCAAACCGCGCCAAGAAGGCACGGAGAGGAAGGAUUGCAUAUCUAUGAACGUCUCCAUUUACAAGGCUCAAGCGUCGGCCUUGGAGCAGCAUGCCGCUGCCGAUUGCAAGGUGAGACAGAUUGGACAAAUUUCACUUCUCAGGUUAAAGGGCAAAUUCCUCUUUUUUCCUGUAGAGGAACACGUGAAAGAGUACUUGAUUUUCUCUGGUAACAUGUUUCUUUUUUUACUUGUAUUCGGCAGGUUCUAGUGGUUGCCAAUCCUGCAAACACGAACGCGCUGAUCCUGAAAGAGUCUGCUCCUUCGAUCCCUGAGAAGAACAUCACGUGCCUCAUGAGGCUCGAUCACAACAGAGCGCUGGGCCAGAUAGCCGAAAAGCUGAAGGUGCGCGUGAGCGAUGUGGAGAACAUCAUCAUCUGGGGAAACCACUCCUCGACUCAAUAUCCAGAUGUUAAUCACGCCACCGUCGCCACCAGCAGUGGUCAGAGAUCUGUCAGAGAUCUCAUUGCCGACAAUGAAUGGUAGCUCAAAGUUUCUGUCGAUAGCGCAAUUUUCGAUACUAUAGACCUGUAGCCUGCCAUUUCCUUGGUUUAUGUCUUCACUGAUCAAUCAGUUGAAAUGCAAGACAGCAUCGCACUCCAAACACCAAAAUCGAAGAAAUCUUGAUGUGACUCUUUAAUCUUCUGUCAUUCUUCUUACUUAGGUUGAAUACGGAGUUCAUUACUACCGUUCAACAGCGGGGUGAAGCGAUCAUCAAGGCUCGGAAGCGUUCGAGCGUGCUAUCUGCUGCAAGCGCCGUGUGUGACCAUAUGCAUGAUUGGCUGCUCGGCACACCCAAGGUAUCGAUAAAUCGUCAAGUGGUCAACAUGAUUCGAUGUCUUCAAUUUACUCUGCGUACCGUUUUUAUGAGUUCGCUCAAUCACUUGAAACCGCACCAAACAGGGAACAUGGGUCUCCAUGGGAGUCUGCUCGGAUGGUUCAUAUGGAAUCCCACCCGGCCUUUUUUACUCUUUCCCCGUCUCAUGUCAGAACGGAGAAUGGUCGAUCGUUCAAGGUACAGUUCCAUCAUCCUGUCCUUCGGCAUUUUGUAUCGAACAUGAAUGUAGUGUGCCUCGUGCAAGAGCAAGAAUGCUCAUAUCAACACAUUAUCGUACAACUCAUGAUCUCGAUAUAGGCAUUAAAAGAGCAUGCAAAUAAAGAAUCAAUAUACACAUGCAAAAACCUCAUCAGAGCCAGCCGCAUCUUAUACUUUAUCAUAGUCAUGGUGAUUAGUUGUCAAUUAUGGGACACUGUUUUGGCAAUCUGAAUAUGUUUAUUAAUACGGAAACCGGUUACUUAUAACGUGCAGGGCUUAAGAUUGAUGAAUUCUCGAGGGCGAAGAUGGAUGCCACGGCAAACGAGCUUAUCGAGGAGAAGUCACAGGCCUAUUUGUGUCUCGACCGAUUCUGCAGUCUUUCCAGCACUAGCGAUGAAGAGUGAUCAUCUUACGUUCUAUGGUUCAGCUGCUUUGUAACAUGAUUAAACAUGCCAAACUCCCGUUUGUUGCACGCUUCACAGAAACUACUACAUGAUACAAUAUCAAACUGAAGAUGCCGCUUGCAGUCGUGUGUCACUAUACCAUUACCUCUAUUACUUAACCAGAUGAACAACCUAUCUUUGCUUCGCGCACUACAUCUACCGAUUGUUUGAUCGAACAAACUGAAGAAUGAGACCUUAGAGGUCUCGAAACCAGGCGGCGAACCACAAAUGAGAGAGAGAGUAAGAGAGAGAGAGAGAGAGAGAGAGAGAGAGAGAGAGAGAGAGAGCAUGUUCAGUUGAACUUAGUACAUAAUAUCACACAUGAAAGCCACACAAACACCCUACUGAUCAUCAAAAUGCAGAUUUUGCAAAGCACGCUACUUUUGCCACCUGCAUUUCUGUGUCUAAAACGUUCAAACACGAGCGAAGACACUCCCAAUCCAAACCACACACCUUUCGACUAUGACAGAACCGAGGAAAUAAGAUUCACAUGAAGAGAACUAGAGAAACAACACAAGAAACCAUCUAAAUCAGCAGUUCGCACUACCCGUUAAAACCCCCACGCACGGUCUCACACGCCCAACGUUGUUAACCAUCAACGUUCACCUCUCUCCCUGGCUCAUGGCGAUGCGCCAGAGGACGAGCCCGGGAAAAUGGGAGUGGCCGGAACACACCCGCCGGGGAACGUGCAGAACCCGGACGGCCCAAACCCGACCCCGCCGGCGAAUCCAGGGUUCGGCAAGCCCCCUCCCGUGCCGGGGCCCGGGAAGUAGUACCCACCGGUGCCUCCGUAGAUGUUCUGAGGGCGGACGGCCUUGUCCUUGCUCUUCAGCAUCCUAGCUCCCUCGACAUUGACGUUGCAUGCAAGAAAGAGGCUCAAGAGCAACACUAAGCAAACAAGCGACGAGGACGACGACGACGACGAUCUCUUCAUCUCCACGGUAGUGUUGAUGUUGCGGCUUUUGAGACUGGUG
rnacentral:lncRNA from 1 species